rnacentral:rRNA from 1 species
CCUACGGGAGGCAGCAGUAAGGAAUAUUGGACAAUGCCCGCAAGGGUGAUCCAGCCAUGCCGCGUGCAGGAAGAAGGCGCUAUGCGUCGUAAACUGCUUUUACACCGGAGAAAACCUCCCCUCGUGAGGGGAGCUGAUAGUAUGGUGAGAAUAAGCAUCGGCUAACUUCGUGCCAGCAGCCGCGGUAAGACGAAGGAUGCAAGCGUUAUCCGGAUUCAUUGGGUUUAAAGGGAGCGUAGGCGGCCCUGUAAGUCAGUGGUGAAAUCUCUCGGCUUAACCGAGAAAUUGCCAUUGAUACUGCAGGGCUUGAGUACAGUUGCUGUGGGCGGAAUAUGACAUGUAGUGGUGAAAUACAUAGAGAUGUCAUAGAACACCGAUUGCGAAGGCAGCUCACAAAACUGUAACUGACGCUGAGGCUCGAAAGUGCGGGGAUCAAACAGGAUUAGAUACCCUGGUAGUCCGCACUGUAAACGAUGAUUACUCGCUGCUGGGAGGUAACUUUCAGUGGCUUAGCGAAAGCGAUAAGUAAUCCACCUGGGGAGUACGCCGGCAACGGUGAAACGUUAAAGGAAUUGACGGGNNGAGAGNGCGAGGACGACACGAGGGAGGAGG